rnacentral:misc_RNA from 1 species
UCUUUUCUUGCAAAUGAUUUAUUUUAAAGGAAGCCUAUAUAAAUGUAUAUUAAAAACGAACUUUAAAGCUUAAAGGGUAAUUCAGGUGUGACUUUUCAUUGAUAAUAAUUGUAUAAAAUUGUUUCAAGAACCAAAAUUUGAAAUGAAAUUGGACCGAAUCAAAGCACAGAGAACUGAACUAAAACAUCAAAGACUGAACUAGAAUUGUACUGAAAUUUCGGUCCCCGUUCCUAGACAAAACCCAAAUCAAAACCAAAACGAAAACCAUACACCACUACAAAGUAUAAUGUUUGAAACCUAAUGAUACACUAAUUUUGUUGGACAUCAUGUACAAUAUUGGAAUUAUAUGAGAAUAUUGAAGGGUACUGUUUAGCAUGUUUGUUUGAGUAUUACCAAAAGAAUAUGUGGGGGAGAAUUGUACAUAAAUGGCCAUGCUCAGCAUUUUGAGUAACUAUUAUCUGAAUAAUGCAGAAAAUAUUAUGCUGGUUAUUUAUUUUUGGGAAAUUAUCAAUUUCCCUUAUCUUACGCAGGAGGUGUGCUUCAUGUUGCCUCCACUUCUGAGUUUGCUUUUGGACUGUGCC